GAGUUAAGAAGCCCAUAAGUUAAUAAAUGAAACAAAAUGUUCAAAAUGGCUACAACCACGUCGAAUGAGAUGCGGCUUGGAAAAAGACGGAGCAAUUUCUUACUAGCUGACAGCAUUUUAUAAACAGCCAAAGAGAGGCAGUCUUUCACUCCACCUGUAGACACACGACAGUGCAGAGAAAGCUCCUUCCUUAGCCAUUGUAGGCCAGCAGCUUCUUUCCGUGCAGAGACAAAAGUUGCAGUCGCAGACAAGGAAAUCUACCUCAACCAUAGUGAAGAGCUCCAGGUUAAAAACAAGAGGCUAUCAGCAGAACAGGUAUGUAUGAUCUGUUACAUAUCUUGUAUAUGUAAUUCCUUCGUUACUUCAAAAACUUUCUUGAUUUGCAACCCUUCAUCUUUAUAUUUUUUUUUAUACGUGCAAACUGCAAGUUUUGUUUAUGAUCUGGGUAUAGCUUACUUGUUUUCUUCAAAGCUAUAAGACACCAGGGUUCGACCCAGCCGGGUUGACUCGCUUGGAUGCAGGUCAAAAACAAAGUGCCCUUGAUGUUGUUUUGCUAAAUGAAAAGAUACCAGUUCAAAGUAAAA